rnacentral:lncRNA from 1 species
CUAUGCCAUGGAGAAGCAGCUCCAGAGAGGCCCACGUAGAGGACUCCAGCCUCCAGCCCUCAGCUUCUGCCAAGCUCCCAGGCAGCAACACCCACAAUUUGGCAGCCAUUUUGGCCUCCAUCUUGCUCCAUCCAAGCAAAUCAUCUUGGAAGUGGACCUUCCAGCCCCAUUUGAACAUCCACCCCCAUGCUACUCAACCCUUUUGGAGAAGGUGGCAACAUCGUUGGCACUGUCAUCUUAGACAAAAGAGAGUGGGACUGGCAGAAGAUCAGCUAUCUCAAAAUUGGAAAGCAGGUCACUAGUUCCUAUCCACUGUGAUUCGUCUGGCAUUCUUCAGUCCUCUGUACUGUGGCUUCUCCUUUCCCCCAUGAUUUUCAUUAAACAUCUACACAAAAAUUAUUUAAUAUGUGCAAAAUGUAUAAAUAACUAAUCCUGCCCUUCACCAUAUCCAUGAUCCUGCAUUUUGUGUGUUUCCUUUCUUUGUUUUCCUCUAUGGUUUCACUACAUGUGAAUCCCUAGUGAUAGAUUUAUUUUUGCUUGUUUCUUAACUAACAGAAAUGGGAUCACACUGUAUGUAUUCUCCCGAAACUUGCUUUAUUCUCUCAACAUUAAGUUCAUAAAUUUCACCUAUUUGUUUUUUGUCUUAAUCUUUGUAACCAGUCUGUAAAACCAAAUGACUAUCCUCUCUGUUCUGGCACAAUGUGCUGUGCAUAUCAGGUGACCAGUAAACACUGUAGGAUGAU